rnacentral:rRNA from 1 species
GACGAACGCUGGCGGCGUGCUUAACACAUGCAAGUCGAACGGAAAGGCCCUGCUUUUGUGGGGUGCUCGAGUGGCGAACGGGUGAGUAACACGUGAGUAACCUGCCCUUGACUUUGGGAUAACUUCAGGAAACUGGGGCUAAUACCGGAUAGGAGCUCCUGCUGCAUGGUGGGGGUUGGAAAGUUUCGGCGGUUGGGGAUGGACUAGCGGCUUAUCAGCUUGUUGGUGGGGUAGUGGCUUACCAAGGCUUUGACGGGUAGCCGGCCUGAGCGGGUGACCGGGCACAUUGGGACUGAGAUACGGCCCAGACUCCUACGGGAGGCAGCAGUGGGGAAUAUUGCACAAUGGGCGGAAGCCUGAUGCAGCAACGCCGCGUGCGGGAUGACGGCCUUCGGGUUGUAAACCGCUUUCGCCUGUGACGAAGCGUGAGUGACGGUAAUGGGUAAAGAAGCACCGGCUAACUACGUG